UGUCCAUUUUCCAAAAAUAAAUUUGUAUUUCUAUCCUUUAUUUCAACUCCAGAUAUUGUAAGAUGGUUAAUUUUACACUUUCACAUAAUCAAUAAUGCUAAGAGAGGAUGGUGUCUCCUGGACAUCCCUUCAAACAAGCCAUACUUGUCGAGUCCUUUUCCAGUCACAAACUUUCACAAAGUAGACCUGGAAAGCUAAAGAUGGAGCUUUUAUGUUUUUUGUCAAUCUCCUGAGCAAUCCAUGGUCUGACCUUGGCUUGAAUUUUUGGCAGCUGUCCAAAAAUAGAAAGGUGACCACAAUGUCUCAGGUGUGGAAGGCCAACCAGCUAGUCAGACACACAUUGUAUCAAUCCGCCCCACCAGCUGAUUUGGGAAAUACGUAAUUUGUGAGUUCAUUGGAACAAUUUUCAAACAACGAAGAAAGUUGGAAAGCACAAAAACAUCUUUAAUGCUGAUGUAGAACUAAUGCAAAAUCCAAAUGCUUACUCUGUUCUACACAGAGCUAGAGUGCAAGGGUGAAUCACACCUAAUCUGGUGGACUGACACAGUCAGCAAGCUCAACAAAUGUAACUUUAAACAGAAACACAGCCAGAAAAUAGUAGCACCAAACAUGACAAAGGUGUGUUGUAAAAAGUUUAGACUGCUUAUCCUCUAAAAUAGCAUUAUAUGCCACUAGUUUGAAUAGUUGGUUUGAGUUAGUGAGGGAGGGCUGUAGUACAGCAGAGAGCAAUGGGGAGGACCUGUGAGGUGUGCUUGUUCAAAUUUUAGCCUACCAAAACUCAAACUAACUUUUAAGGUUCUCAUACUUCCUAUGUUCAAUGUGUCAAGUUUUGUAUGAUCAGGAUUUGUCCAUUACUUUCACUUUUCAGUCCAUUGAAAGCAGUAACAUUAGAUGUUUUUUCCUGCAUUGACGGUGAUAGAAACUUGAUGAAGAGACGGGUUACACCCUGGACAGGUUGCCAAAUACAAAAGAUGACAGCCGUAACCUUUCCAGUGGAAUAAAAACUUUGUGUCAUUUACAGCAUCAGGAGAAAAUCUUUACAGGUUUGCCUUCAGCUUUUUUAUUAUUGUUGUGAAAUAAACAUCUCUGUCCCACCACA